rnacentral:rRNA from 1 species
UGGAGAAUUGGCAAUGGUAGGAGAAUCAAGUUUUGGGAAGAUCACUGGUUUGGGUCUUGCAGCUUGGCCAUUCAAUUUGAGCUGUAUAGUAUUGCAAAUGAACAUAACAUCCCUAUUGUUGAUGUGUGGGAUGGGGUAGAUCUUAAGAUCACCUUUAGGAGAUGUGUGGACAAUAGAUUACCGCUUUUAUGGUUUGACCUAGUUAGUAUUGCUAAACCUAUCGAAAUUUCUGAUGAGGAUGAUGCUUUAAUUUGGAAGCUUGAAUCUAAUGGUAAAUAUUCUGUUAGAUCUAUGUAUGCCAUGGUUAACUUUAGAGGCAUUAGCCCUGUUUUUAUUCCUGAUAUCUGGCAUAUUCAUUUCCUCCCAAUGUUCACAUUUUCUUGUGGCUGCUGGCUCAUAACAAAUUGCUGGUGA